rnacentral:tRNA from 2 species
UCCCUGAUAGCUCAGUUGGUAGAGCAAAUGACUGUUAAUCAUUGGGUCCCUGGUUCGAGCCCAGGUCAGGGAGCCA